CCGGCAUCCCAGCUAGGCAAGUUGGUUAGCCAAAGUUAAAUCUUAAUUUCAUCAAGAAUUCUUUGCCAAUUUUCAUCAGUUGAUGUCAGUCGGAAACUCAGAAAAAUUCUUUUGGUAGAUAUGAAAAUAUUUUAGGCAUCGCAAUUCUCUUUUUAAAUGUAGAUGGUGCCACAUAUUACCGAACACUGCUGGUGAUGAUGGAACGCCCUUUUCCUAUGAACAUAGAUAAUACAUUAACCAGUCGGCUAAGGCAAGGAAGCAUCACGAAUAGCAUGAAGACAUGCUCCUUUCAGGUUUCAUGAAUAUAGUAUCUCAAGGUAUAAUUAACAAUCACUUGUUUGGGGAGCCCCAGAGCAUCGGGGUUGCGGACCACCAGGAGUCCACCAUGUUCCCGCCUCGCUGCGUCUCAGGAGAAAAAAAUGGAAGGCCUGCCUGAUGCUGCUGCUUUUGCAACUAGACUUAAAAACACUCUCAUCCAAUAUCAUGGCAUCAGAGAUGAUA
rnacentral:lncRNA from 12 species